UAGCAACAGGGGAAGGCCUCCCACUGGCUGGUUGGAUAGAAGCUUUUACUGCUGCAGUAGCUACAGGGGAGACAUGAUCUUCAGGUGGACUAUAAAGUCUAGGAAAUUGAACUGCAAGACAAGAAUCUACCAGCCAGACAUCAUUCCAUAAGUUAAUAUCUCUACCAUUGCCAACCAAACCACAAACUUCUUUCUUGGCAAUAUUUUGAAGUCCCUCGUUCUUAUAAAAAGUAAUGACAUGCCUAGACCAUGUACUACCCUUUAAAUGAACACAAACUAAAGGCAUGUUCAAAUAUGCUUUUUGGUUGUGGAUGUUGUAGAUAACAUCUUUUCAUAGUCUUGUAUUAGACCUCCCAAACCUCCAUAGCCAUUUGAAAAACAAGGCUUUAUUUUUAUCAAUAAUGCAGUCUAUACCCACCUUUUUUGUUUUUUUGGAGGAACCACUGAUGCCCAUUUAACAUUGCAUAGUUUUUUCCCUCCUUCCUCCUGAGAACCAAAGAAAGAUAUGAUAUGUUUCUCAAUUUUGGUAGCAACAGUGGAUGGGAUAGGAAAUAAAGAAAG
rnacentral:lncRNA from 1 species